rnacentral:rRNA from 1 species
UACGAAGGGGGCUAGCGUUGUUCGGAUUUACUGGGCGUAAAGCGCACGUAGGCGGAUCGAUCAGUCAGGGGUGAAAUCCCAGGGCUCAACCCUGGAACUGCCUUUGAUACUGUCGAUCUGGAGUAUGGAAGAGGUGAGUGGAAUUCCGAGUGUAGAGGUGAAGUUCGUAGAUAUUCGGAGGAACACCAGUGGCGAAGGCGGCUCACUGGUCCAUUACUGACGCUGAGGUGCGAAAGCGUGGGGAGCAAACAGG